CCCCCCCUUUAAAUAUCCUUGUCCAUAUAUUGAAUCUCUCUAAUACUCAUCACCUUUGGAAUUGAUCAUGGCAGUAUUAAAGGCACUUCUAUUCUGAACUGAACAUUAAAGAUGCUAUUACCCCUCCAGUGCUUUUGUGGGUCACUAUCAUCUAUAAAAAAUAUCCUAAAAGGAGAAGCCAAAUAAAUGAGGUAAUCAGUGGAAAGAAUAUAAGAUCCUUGGAAUCUAA
rnacentral:lncRNA from 1 species